ensembl:snRNA U2 U2 spliceosomal RNA
AUCUCUUCUCGGCCUUUUGGCUAAGAUCAAGUGUAGUAUCUGUUCUUAUCAGUUUAAUUGUGGUAAAAUCUCUUCUCGGCCUUUUGGCUAAGAUCAAGUGUAGUAUCUGUU